GACAGAGGCCCCAAGCGUUAGGCGGAAUCACUGGGCUUAAAGCGUGUGUAGGCGGACCGUUAAGCGUCUUGUGAAAUCCCACGGCUCACCCGUGGAACUGCUGGGCAUACUGGCGAUCUUGGGCCAACUAGGGGCAGUCGGAACAAGCGGUGGAGCGGUGAAAUGCGUAGAUAUCGCUUGGAACGCCGAAGGUGAAACAGAACU
rnacentral:rRNA from 1 species